GGCGGAUUAGCCAAUUAUGAUGGC
rnacentral:tRNA from 1 species